GGCCGGGUCUCGGCGCGGUCCGGAGCGGGUGGGAGUGUGCUGAGGGACUCGGUCUUGGGGCGGUUCUCUCUUAGCGCCGUUAUCGGCGACCUGGGUGAGAGGAUUGAGUGCACCCUCAGUGAGCUUGCAAGUGACACUGCACCGGGUGGAAGUGCUGAUGUGCUUGGCAGUAGGAAGGCUCUGCAGAGGGGUUUGGACAGCCUGGAUCGAAGGGCUGAGGGCUGUGAUUCCUGUCCAGGCACUUGGAUGCAAGUUCCACAUACUUACAGUUCCAAAACUAAGAUGUAAGAAGUAGGAGACUCAUAGGUGUCGUGGAUGGUGAUGUACUGAGGAUGCUAGCACCAAGGCCUGACAACGUUCUGCAUUGCCUGUUCGGUCUCCUGUUCAAGUGACCAUCUUACUCUGAAAGGGGCUUCAGCAUGUGAUUUAAAUCAGUCAUAUGCCUCGUGUGCUUCAGCAAACUCAGACUUUGAGGUUAAGCUUAUCCAGAACGAGCAAACUAUCAGGACUUCCAAAGCUCACAUCAAAUCAGGGAUAACAGAGGAGAUAUCAGUGGGACCUGCCAGUGGCUGUCAGAGAUUUGGCUGCUUAAUUGUUCACAAGUUUUGCCAGACUGCAAUCCUCAAAUCACAGAUAAUCUUUAAAAACAGAAUUCAGUCCGUAUUUUACCUAGUCUGUAUGUCAAUCAGCACUUAACAUGCUUUUUCAAGGGGCAACACUUCUGAAGCUAACUACAAAAAGCACCCUGGGCUUUCCUACAAGGAAAAAGCUUCAAGCCAUCGUUUUGGUGGUUUAUUGUGGUGAUAAGCAGGGUUAAUAUUACCUCCCAAUCUCGUGCAGCUCUGCAUAAGCAAGGUCAAAGUUUUCCUUCCAUGAAAUAGUGGCACCAUCGGCAGCAGAGUCUUUGAAGGAGCAAAGGACAUUCAAGAAAGCAUAAAAUUAAGGACAGAUUCCUGUCUACUACAUACUGCAUAUUUUAAAAAUGAUGUGAGACUAUAUUACUUAAAUCAGCAAAUAAUACCACUGGGAGUCCAGUUUCAGAGUGUUAAUGCACAGCUCUGACUUGUUACAUCACUUAAAAGCCAGAGCUCCCCAAAGGAAUAAGGUGUGGAUAA